rfam:Hydrocarboniphaga daqingensis strain CGMCC 1.7049 genome assembly, contig: Ga0070175_106
GGGUCGACUGCCCAUGGAUGGGCAGUCGAGGGAUUACGCGACAGGACGUCGCGUAGUCCCGACCCC